AACGAACGCUGGCGGCAGGCUUAACACAUGCAAGUCGAACGCCCCGCAAGGGGAGUGGCGCACGGGUGAGUAACAUGUGGGAAUAUGCCUUUUGGUACGGAACAACGUUUGGAAACGAACGCUAAUACCGUAUGGUCCCUCCGGGGUAAAGAUUUAUCGCCAAAAGAUUAGCCCGCACUAGAUUAGCUAGUUGGUAAGGUAAUGGCUUACCAAGGCGACGAUCUAUAGCUGUUCUGAGAGGAAGAUCAGCCACACUGGGACUGAGACACGGCCCAGACUCCUACGGGAGGCAGCAGUUAGGAAUAUUGGACAAUGGGCGCAAGCCUGAUCCAGCCAUGCCGCGUGAGUGAUGAAGGCCUUCGGGUUGUAAAGCUCUUUAGCCGACGAAUAUAAUGACUGUAGUCGGAGAAUAAGCCCCGGCUAACUUCGUGCCAGCAGCCGCGGUAAGAC
rnacentral:rRNA from 1 species